rnacentral:misc_RNA from 1 species
UUGUUUGAUUUAACUUGUUCUCAGACUUCAGUUUUCCAGGCAGGGUUGGCUGAUUCCGGCAGGCGGGGGGCCUCCGCGAACAGAGGGGGUCCCCGCCAGGCGCCGAAUCCGGGCCGCGGUUGCAAAGGGUGGGGAUUGCGGCGCGAGGCCGUUACCCAUUAAUGAUCCUUCCGCAGGUUCACCUACGGAAA